UGGGGGAUCUUGCGCUAAUGCGCGAAAGCGUGACGCAGCGACGCCGCGUGGGGGAUGAAGGCCUUCGGGUUGUAAACCCCUUUCGGCAGGGACGAAGGGAAACUGACGGUACCUGCAGAAGAAGUCCCGGCUAACUACGUGCCAGCAGCCGCGGUAACACGUGGGGGACGAGCGUUGUCCGGAUUCAUUGGGCGUAAAGCGCGCGUAGGCGGCUCGGAAAGUCGGGCGUGAAAUGCCGGGGCUCAACCCCGGGACUGCGUCCGAUACUUCCGAGCUGGAGGUAGGUAGGGGAGAUCGGAAUUCCUGGUGUAGCGGUGAAAUGCGCAGAUAUCAGGAGGAACACCGGUGGCGAAGGCGGAUCUCUGGGCCUUACCUGACGCUGAGGCGCGAAAGCUAGGGGAGCGAAC
rnacentral:rRNA from 1 species